UGGUGAAACCCCAUCCUACUAAAAAAAUACAAAGAUUAGCUGGGCGUGUUGGCAGGUGCCUGUAAUCCCAGCUAUGCAGGAGUCUGAGACAGUAUCACUUGAACCCAGGGGGUGGAGGUUGCGGUGAGCCGAGAUUGUGCCACUGCACUCCAGCCUGGGCAACAGAGUGAGACUCUGUUUCAACAAACAAACAAACAAACAAAGGGGGGGGAGUUUAUUAAGGAUAAUUGACUCACACGUUCACAAGGUCAAGUCCCAUGAUAGGCCGGCCGCAAGUUGAGGAGCAAGGAAGCCAGUGGUGGAUCAGCCUGAGUCCCAAAACCUCAAAAGUAGGGAAGCCAACAGUUCAGCCUUCAGUCUGUGGCCAAAGGCCUGAGAGCCCCCGACAAACCAAUGGUGUAAGUCCAAGAGUCCAAAAGCUGAAGAACUUGGAGUUUCAUGUUCAAGGGCAGGAAGCAUCCAGCACAGGAGAAAAAUGAAAGCUGGAAGACUCAGCAAGUCUGCUCUUCCAUCUUCUCUUGCCUGCUCUAUUCUAGCUGGGCUGGCAGGUGAUUAGAUGGUGCCCACCCAGAUUGAGGGUGGAUCUGCCUGUCCCAGUCCACUGACUCAAAUGUUAAUCUCCUUUGGCAACACCCUCACAGACACACCAGGAACAGUAAUUUGCAUCCUUCAAUCCUAUCAUGUUGAUGCUCAAUAUUAACCAUUAUACAUUGGUUCAAGUUCUUUCUUCAGUCACAAGAGUAACACAGGUAGAAGAGACAAAUGAAUAAGUGCCAAGUCUUGCUGCAGAGUUUCCUUCAUAAGUUUUGUUUGCAACCUGGCCAUUUCUUUUCUAAGGUCACUUUGUUCAUCAGUAAGAUGAACUCUGAUUCUCUUCUAGGUCCUCCAAACUCCGUAGGAAUUGCUGAUUUCAGUUUAAUUUGUUUCAGUGUCUCUGUCUCUGAACCAUUCUAGCUUAUAGACAACUCUUUUGUUGCUCUCGAAACAUUGUAGCUAGUUUUUGUUCCUCUGGUUCCUCAGCCUUCACUGUUCGUGUUCCAAUCUUGAAACAAAGUCAGAAACUGCUUAGAAUAUUUGUAAUGAAGUUUCUGCCUUUCCUCUUGUGUUUUCAAAACAUGUUCAAUUCUCUUCUUAGUGGUGUGGAUAAAAGCAUUCAUAUACUCCUGUAAUCCCAGCACUUUGGGAGGCCGAGACGGGUGGAUCACGAGGUCAGGAGUUCGAGACCAGCCUGGCCAACAUGGUGAAACCCCGUCUCUACUAAAAAUAAAAAAAUUAGCCGAGCAUGGUGGCAGCGCCUGUAAUCCCAGCUAGUCAGGAGGCUGAGGCAGGAGAACUGCUUGAACCCGGGAGGCGGAGGUUGCAGUGAGCCGAGAUCGCGCCAUUGCACCCCAGCUCUGGGCAACAGAACAAGACUCUGUCUCGGAAAAAAAAAAAAAAAAGCAUUCAUAUACAUUCUAGCCUUUUUCUCUGUGUAGCAAAAUCCUGUUUAAUAUCAGCUCCGCUUACUUGUAACUUCUGUACAUCAUCCCCCACGUCUUCCUCAUCUGUUCCUACAAAGUGCUUUCUUUCUCCAUGCUCAUCAGUUCCUGAAUGCUUUCCUCCCAGCUCAUUUCCUGGGCUGCCAUAACCUGGGCCUCCACUGCCUUGGCAACCUUCACGAUGCACUCCCUGUCCACAGGCUCCAUGGCUGGCUGUCCUGGAACUUCUGAACCUUGUGAGUGCAAUGAUGCACUGGAAGUAGGUGGAGAUGUGUGUGAUCUGCAGGCUUGGGUAUCUGGAGGCCAGUGGGCACACUGGACACUCCCUGUGAUCUAAGAACUUAUUUAGGCAGAUAGUGAGGGUAAGGAAGUCCUUGGUAAGGUUUUCCUUUUAAUGAAAAGCAGCCCCCGAAUCAUUUCUUUCCUAACGAAGUGCAGCCUGUAAAAUCAAGCUGCAGACAUAGAUCAGCAAGCUGGAAGCUUGCAGGGGUGAAUGCCAGCAGCUCUGGCAAUAGGAAAAGGCCCCCUGGAGGCUAGGCAUGUUCAACAUGGUGGCUCCAUCUCCCCUUUUUCUUUAUCAACCACAUGUACAGUAAGGAGCAGGCAACGUGGCGCCAGCCAGGUAGAGAAGCCAUUUGUGGCCAGGUGCGGUGGCACACGCCUAUAAUCCCAACACUUUGGGAGGCUGAGGCGGGCAGAUCACCUGAGGUCAGAAGUUCAAGACCAGCCUGGCCAACACGUUGAAAUGGUGUCUCUACUAAAAAUACAAAAAUUAGCUGGGUGUAGUGGCAGGCGUCUGUAAUCCCAGCUACUCAGGAGGCUGAGGCAGGAGAAUCUGUUGAACUUGGGAGGUGGAGGUUGCAGUGAGCCGAGAUCACACCACUGCACUCCAGCCUGGGAAAUAGGAGUGAACCUCCAUCUCAAAAAAAAAAAAAAAAAAAAAAAAAAAAAAAUCCAUUUGCAAAAUAGAUUAGGGUGGGGCGGGGAGCUUCUUCCUGUACUAUGUAAACAUCGCACCUGUUUCAACCAAUCUUUGAGCCCUAUGUAAAUCAGACACUGCCUCCUCAUGCCUGUCCUUGUGCAUGCUGCUGCAGGCUGGAAGACCCACUCAGGUGCCCCUCUCUCUGCAGGAGAGAGAGCUAUUCUCUUUUUCUUUUGCCUAUUAAACCUCUGCUCUUAACCUCACUUCACAUGUGUUCGUGUCCUUGACUUCCUUGGCAUGACGCAGUGAACCUUGGGUAUUACCCCAGAUGAACGACACUGCUUCAUUCCUUGGCAUGAGGCAAUGAUCCUUGGGUCUUACCCCAGAUGAACGACACUGCUUCAUUUUGGGGCCCCAGGUGGGAUCAAGGUAUCAUCAUCAGAACAGUGAGGACAGGAGUGGACCUCAACCAUGUCCUUUCAUUUCAAGGUUCUUGGCCUCCAUUUUAAAAUCAAAUCAAAUACUGGGCCCCCUUCAGCUAUUUAAAAAUGAUUAGUGUGGCUGGCAGCCUUACAAGACUUGGGGGACAGGCUUGCUGGGGAGAACAUUCUGAAGCAGUGGGAAUUUUUACAGUUCAAGGAAGUAAUCCUGUUAGGCAAGAUCAGGAAAUACCGUAGUAACUGAGGUAGAGCUCAAGGCAAUGCCAUUUUUGUGAUUUUCUAGGAACAGUGGGUCUUCCCCUCCUCUCCCCAUAGUGAGGUCUCUCUCUGCCCUUGGUCUGGAGAGCACAUGGCAUUUAAAGGUCAACGGCCCUACCCAGUGGCAUAGGAAUCCUCUCCAUGAGGCACAUUGUCAGCCCUUUGCCAAAACACUCUGGCUUCCCAAUUCUCCUCCCUUUUUGCACCCCUCUGCUGGACACCAGGCUUUAUGCUACUUCCAUAAAUGGGAAAACUCUGUCUUCAACAAUAAGGAGGAAAAUGUCCUCCAAAACCAAAUUUUAGUCUCAAUACUGUCCCAUCAGCAGGAAAAUAGCCAUUUGGUUCCUAUGUUUUUUUUAAGGCACCUAUUCUGCUUGUAAUUAAAAUAGUACUUAAAUAGUAAGGGUAAUUUAAGUCCGGAAGUUAACUGGAACCAUUCUCUAAGGGUACUUUAGCACGAGUCAUAAUAGCAGGAUAUAGAGCUCAAACCAGCACACUUCCUCCAUUAUGGAGGGAAAUACAACAGUUGCCUAAAUGCAACUGUUACAUAGUCUCUCCCAAGAUCCAUUUUUCAGGGAGCCACACAGGUCACACAAGUCUUGGAAGUCAAAAGGAAAUCAUAAGUGCAGGACUAGAGUCACAUGGGUAAGCAUGACUAACCCCAAUCACUUAGUUCCUCUGGUUCCAUGGCUGGGGGUCACACCUGCAACCAUGGGAGGCAUGUUUAACAAGAUGCUGGGACCCAGGAACCAAGGAGGGAAAACAGUAGGGGUGGCGCCCUCACUGUCUUCCCCUUCCCCUCCUCUGGAGUGCGUUCUGAAGCACUGGGACUCCUUUGACUCUGAGAUUUGGAAGAAAAAACAGCUCAUUUUCUUUUGCACAAGAGCAUGGCCUUCUUACUAGACCUUUGCAAGCAUUGCACAAUGGACUCAGCUCUUUCAGCAGUCAUAUCAGACAGGCCCAAAGGGAAUGAUUCCCCAAAACUAGAGAAACAAACUCCCAGGAACCCCUCAAAUGAAACUUCCAGAUGCCCUGGCCCUUCCUCCCUCCCUUUCACAUUGUCAGCUUCUCCAAUUCUACCACCCAAACCCCCAGACUUUUCUAUGGUAUUUUUCCUUCCUUCAUUCAUGAUUUAAAAUGGCUCCUAUCUCUUCUUCUAUAAUGUUCCUCCAAACUGGGAGAAGUUAAUUUCCUCAAACCUUAAAAUGCUUGGCUUAGGGUUGAGCUCGGGGAACAGAACCCAGAAGCCUGACAUGCUGUCAAAAGGGUAAAAAUUUUUAUUUUUAUUUUUAUUUAUUUAUUUUUUUUGAGACAGAGUCUCGCUCUGUUG
rnacentral:lncRNA from 1 species